GGCCGCCUGGCGAAAUGGCAUCGCGUCUGACUACGAUCAUGUCGAAAUCAGGAGAUUGCAGGUUCGACCCCUGCGGUGGUCA
rnacentral:tRNA from 1 species